rnacentral:lncRNA from 1 species
GAUAACAUUUGUUUUCCACUUUUUCAGUGUCUUGUGAGACUUCAUCUGCUAAUAUUUAUAAAGCAUCUCAAACUUCUUCAGUGAAAGGUGACAAUCUGUAAGCACCUUGAACUGCCAUUGACAACUGACAUUUAUUGAGCAUGGACUUCGGAUCAGACCGUGUACCAGCCCAGAGAUUUUUUAAAAAUAGAAAUCUUACUGUGUGCGGAAUUCAUUCCUUCUGGUGGGUUCUUGGUCUCGCUGUCUUCAAGAAUG